GAUAAGCCUGGGAAACUGGGUCUAAUACCGGAUAUGACUCCUCAUCGCAUGGUGGGGGGUGGAAAGCUUUUGUGGUUUUGGAUGGACUCGCGGCCUAUCAGCUUGUUGGUGAGGUAAUGGCUCACCAAGGCGACGACGGGUAGCCGGCCUGAGAGGGUGACCGGCCACACUGGGACUGAGACACGGCCCAGACUCCUACGGGAGGCAGCAGUGGGGAAUAUUGCACAAUGGGCGCAAGCCUGAUGCAGCGACGCCGCGUGAGGGAUGACGGCCUUCGGGUUGUAAACCUCUUUCAGUAGGGAAGAAGCGAAAGUGACGGUACCUGCAGAAGAAGCGCCGGCUAACUACGUGCCAGCAGCCGCGGUAAUACGUAGGGCGCAAGCGUUAUCCGGAAUUAUUGGGCGUAAAGAGCUCGUAGGCGGUUUGUCGCGUCUGCCGUGAAAGUCCGGGGCUCAACUCCGGAUCUGCGGUGGGUACGGGCAGGCUAGAGUGGUGUAGGGGAGACUGGAAUUCCUGGUGUAGCGGUGAAAUGCGCAGAUAUCAGGAGGAACACCGAUGGCGAAGGCAGGUCUCUGGGCAUUAACUGACGCUGAGGAGCG
rnacentral:rRNA from 1 species